AUAAUAAAGAACACUUCAGGCAAUUUGCCUGAAGUAUUUAAAAAAAACUAAAAUAAUAAUAAUUAGUUUAAUUUGUAUCUUGGUAUGAUAGAUGCAUAUGCUGCGGAAAGCGAUGAAAUAUUGAAGUCAACCAGCAGUGGACUUGAGCUAUUGUCCAUGCAGUGAAGCAAGAAAACAGUACCGGUUAUGGAUUUCACUAGUCCCGAUACGUUUGAAUAGAACGCAAGUUCUUUGGUGUACGGCAGCUUCAAUUGGGGGUUACAUUACAAAUGGAUCACUUUGCCAAGAGGCACUUUGAAGGAAGUUGAACAUUUUAAAUGAAAUUAACUAAUUUCAUGUAAACCAAUUUAUAUACAUACAUAUACCUAUAUGUGUUCUCCUUAUAGCCACGUAUCUAUGUUAUAUCAUUAUAACGUUAGCUUUGUGUAGUACACAACGCAGAGAACGUAAAUUCAUAGAGAAGGCUCAGGAAUGAAUGAGCCGGUUAAAUGUCAAAUGCUAACAAAACGCGGCUAAGAAAUUUUUGUUAUUUCAUCAUGGCCUUGGAAAAGUUUACAUAAGAGAGUUAACAUAGCGGAGCGUAGUCAACAGAAUUAAAUAUAGCGUUUGCAUUGAAAUGUAAAAUGCCAUGAUUUGGUGUUAGGCAAAAUAAAAUAACA